ACGCCGGGUUUAUAAUAACCACCCAAGAUCAAGGCCACCAUUGUAAGUUUUACAAUCCCCACAAGAUGAGCCGAUCUCCCGGAAGUGACUUUAAUGCCACCAUGUCCACUGAUGACAGGCUGGUUUUGACGUGGGUCCCAAUGUCGUCGAAUUUCUACGAAAUCCAGAUUGAAGGAAAAUUCAAGCCCGAUUUUUACGUGCACAAGAAGACCAAAAGGUGCCUGCAUAUCACAGUGAAUGAGACCAAAAAGCGUCACAGGCCUUUGAGAUCACACGAAGUGAAAUGCAUACAGGUAAACAGCUCUUUUAACGGAACCAUCUCGAUGUUUGUGCAGAAAAUCGACACAACUCGUCGUUGUUUGGUAGACAAUACGUGCAGCAUUACGAGCAAAUCUCUAAACUAUAUUGUCCCCCAAGAUAUAAAUACUACUACUUCUAGUACGACUACUACUACUACUACUACUACGAUGACGACGACAAUGACUAUU